CUCCGUCUCUCUGUUUCGCUUCCCCCUUUUCCAUACAUGCGAGCGGUUCGCGCUGUCUCACUGUAUCUCUCUCACUCUCACUCUCUCUCUCUAUUGUUUUCUCGCAACCACCACCCACUGUCACACAAACACACCAUCUUGACCAUUCGCUAACCCCCGGCAAAAUCAAUCUAACGUUCCAUCGAGCGGCGCAGUAACAUUACUCACACUGAUCGCUGAUGAAACAUCUGCUGUCUUUUUUUUUCUUCUCUAAACACUGAGUUUUGUUGCACUUUAAUAUACACACUUUAACAAACACACACAGUGCUGCAAAAUGUCACUGUCAAUGACAUAAAAAAAUCGAACUGAAACAAAAUCCAUGUCAGCGUCACGUACUCACUUGUGAUAAUCAGAGGUGAUUCUCUAAACGAUUGGUGUGAUCAAUGCAUGCUUCGUGACAUUUUUGCGACCAACGCUUGGUCAUUGGGUGCCUAAAAGAAUGUCACCAAGCUUGUGAUGGUCGCAACAACUGUUUGAGUCUUACCUCUGAUCAUCUCAGUUGUGUACGUGAGCUGUUUUGAGCUUCGUUUCAGUCAUGAGUGUUGGUGACUGGAAGCACUGUUCACAGCCAGAAAAGGUCAUGAUUAUGCUUGCGGCGGCAUUAAGCUCAGCUUGCCAGUCAGAGUAUUACGUUGGACUAAAACAUGCGCAUGUCAAAGUCAUGAAACACUUUCAUUGAGUAUCAGCAAUGAGCAUCAAGCUACCACGGAUGUGUUCAUUGUUUUCGAUGGUGAAUAUCUCGUGAUGCUCAGUACAUUUUGCGGCACAGCACACACAUGAUACAAUCACACAGAACAUGUUUAAUUUCAAAAGAAAAACCGUUACAAAAGCGAACGCGAUAAGCACACGUGUAAAACCGAAAUUGGCAAACGAUUGGAUUGAUUGCAACCGUGCGGGGGCAGUAGAUGUUGUGGCGUGGUGUGGAUAAUAGUGAAAGAAAGCGUGAGAAGAGGGAGUAUGGAAAAGGAGAAGGGCAAGGAGAGAUGUAGCAGCAUGAGGGGGAGGGGUUUUUUGUUUGUAAAUCGGAAACAAAAUUAAGCGUUUUGCUAAACGUUGUGCACCGCCACUGCACCACACCGAGUAUUUCACCGAGUAGCGUAGCACCCAGUGUUCAAAUGUUGUGCCUCUGGUGGUUGUUGUCAUCGUAAAACCAACAUUUUACUUGUGUGGUGGUAAUUUUCCUCGCCAAAUGGUCACUCAGCUAGUUUUUUGUUUUCGUUUCCGCUUCCAACAACAACAACAAAACCAA